GUGGGGAAUCUUAGACAAUGGGCGCAAGCCUGAUCUAGCCAUGCCGCGUGAGCGAUGAAGGCCUUAGGGUUGUAAAGCUCUUUCAGCUGGGAAGAUAAUGACGGUACCAGCAGAAGAAGCCCCGGCUAACUCCGUGCCAGCAGCCGCGGUAAUACGGAGGGGGCUAGCGUUGUUCGGAAUUACUGGGCGUAAAGCGCACGUAGGCGGAUCAGAAAGUCAGAGGUGAAAUCCCAGGGCUCAACCUUGGAACUGCCUUUGAAACUCCUGAUCUUGAGGUCGAGAGAGGUGAGUGGAAUUCCGAGUGUAGAGGUGAAAUUCGUAGAUAUUCGGAGGAACACCAGUGGCGAAGGCGGCUCACUGGCUCGAUACUGACGCUGAGGUGCGAAAGCGUGGGGAGCAAACAGGAUUAGAAACCCUAGUAGUCC
rnacentral:rRNA from 1 species